GAUGAAAAACGCAGCGAAAUGCGAUACGUAAUGUGAAUUGCAGAAUUCAGUGAAUCAUCGAGUCUUUGAACGCACAUUGCGCCCCCUGGUAUUCCGGGGGGCAUGCCUGUCCGAGCGUCAUUGCUGCCCUCAAGCACGGCUUGUGUGUUGGGCCUCCGUCCUCCUCCCGGGGGACGGGCCCGAAAGGCAGCGGCGGCACCGCGUCCGGUCCUCGAGCGUAUGGGGCUUCGUCACCCGCUCUUGUAGGCCCGGCCGGCGCUUGCCGACACAUCAAUCUUUUUUCCAGGUUGACCUCGGAUCAGGUAGGGAUACCCGCUGAACUUAAGCAUAUCAAUAAGCGGAGGA
rnacentral:misc_RNA from 1 species